AGAGUUUGAUCCUGGCUCAGAUUGAACGCUGGCGGCAUGCUUUACACAUGCAAGUCGAACGGCAGCACGGGGCAACCUGGUGGCGAGUGGCGAACGGGUGAGUAAUAUAUCGGAACAUGUCCGGAAGUGGGGGAUAACGUAGCGAAAGUUACGCUAAUACCGCAUAUGCCCUGAGGGGGAAAGGAGGGGAUCGCAAGACCUUUCGCUUUCGGAGUGGCCGAUAUCAGAUUAGCUAGUUGGUGGGGUAAAGGCCUACCAAGGCAACGAUCUGUAGCUGGUCUGAGAGGACGACCAGCCACACUGGGACUGAGACACGGCCCAGACUCCUACGGGAGGCAGCAGUGGGGAAUUUUGGACAAUGGGGGAAACCCUGAUCCAGCCAUGCCGCGUGAGUGAAGAAGGCCUUCGGGUUGUAAAGCUCUUUCAGCCGGAAAGAAAUCGUGCAACCUAAUACGUUGUAUGGAUGACGGUACCGGAAGAAGAAGCACCGGCUAACUACGUGCCAGCAGCCGCGGUAAUACGUAGGGUGCGAGCGUUAAUCGGAAUUACUGGGCGUAAAGCGUGCGCAGGCGGUUUUGUAAGACAGAUGUGAAAUCCCCGGGCUUAACCUGGGAACUGCAUUUGUGACUGCAAGGCUAGAGUACGGCAGAGGGGGGUAGAAUUCCACGUGUAGCAGUGAAAUGCGUAGAUAUGUGGAGGAAUACCGAUGGCGAAGGCAGCCCCCUGGGUCGAUACUGACGCUCAUGCACGAAAGCGUGGGGGAGCAAACAGGAUUAGAUACCCUGGUAGUCCACGCCCUA
rnacentral:rRNA from 1 species